UUAAAUAAAUUUUGCCUUAAAAAAUAUGAAGAAACAUUGACAGCCCAGUGACCUUCAAUUCUUUUCUAUUCUCUCUGUUCCUGUGUAUAUUUAUCUUUCACGCUGUGAUCCCCAACUGCAAUGCAAGGAAAUGAAGACUCAUUUGUUCUGCUGACUACUUCAUGAGUACCCAAUACUUCCAGCAUAUGAUAGUAACACCUUCUUGGACUUCGUUCUUUUCAUCGCAAAUCAAGUGGCACUGUGACAAAACCUGCUCUAAGGCAUGUCUGAGAGGAUCCCAGGGCACGUCAGCCAGAAGCUUUAUUCCUGACUAGUGCAUUCUUACUAACCCGAAUCAAGUUGGCCCCAGUCAACUCUAAGGAUGAGACAACAAUGAGACAAUGAGGCAGCAACGACAGAUGAUACCAAGGGGACAGAAUCUGUGAACCCUAUGAUGAA